AACAUUGAUUGUUGUGUUCUGGCUUCAGUUCCUUGUUGAUGAGCCUGAGAAUUCUGGCAGCAUACACUUGCUUUUAGCUUCUCCUUGUCUAAAGUUGAAAAUGACAAUGGACUUGGCCAAUUUAUUGAAAAAGAAAAUGGUAGGUGAUGGUUUUCAAUGCUUAGGUUGGAUGGGAAUGCUUUUCUCUCUCACUCUGCCCCCGCAUGCUGGAAAACAAACACCUUAUUUUCUGCAAACGGUGGUCUCCAUUUAUGUCGUGUUUUAAGAGCUUCCCACACAGGUGAUGUAUAUACAUUUUUGGGUGCACACAGGUGUCUUCCAGAGUGCUUUUAAAUAAAGUGUUUGUAACAAAAGUACUUGAUACAAAGAAAUCUGUGAUGUUUUCUUAAGACUAACUUCAAGCAUUUUUUAAGGGGAUUUUUAUGAAAACCGUUUUACAAAUGCUUUCUCACAAAACAAGUAUUGUAGUUUUGAAAAAAUGUCGUAUUGUAACGAAAAUGUGUUAUUGUCAUUA